CACAUUGAUGGCAGCAAAGUUGGCGUUGGUGUGAAAGGCAUGCUCAAUGAAAUGAAGGCUGCUCUUUGCAAAGGCAGCGUGGACAAGAGUAUCCAGUACCCCAGUGUGGAUUUGUACAUGGCAGGGGGAUUCUGUGAUAACAAAAGGACUUCUCAAAGCAACACCAUGAAGCUGCUUCAGUUCUUUAUGAAGCAGGAAAUCAACAUUCACAUUCAGUUGGCUUGCGUGUCAG